rnacentral:rRNA from 1 species
GACGAACGCUGGCGGCGUGCUUAACACAUGCAAGUCGAACGGAAAGGCUCCAGCUUGCUGGAGUACUCGAGUGGCGAACGGGUGAGUAACACGUGGGUAAUCUGCCCUGCACUCUGGGAUAAGCCUGGGAAACUGGGUCUAAUACUGGAUAUGACCUUUCUCCUUAUGGGGUUUGGUGGAAAGUUUUUCGGUGUAGGAUGAGCCCGCGGCCUAUCAGCUUGUUUGGUGGGGUGAUGGCCUACCAAGGCGACGACGGGUAGCCGGCCUGAGAGGGUGAUCGGCCACAUUGGGUCUGAGAUACGGCCCAGACUCCUACUGGAGGCAGCAGUGGGGAAUAUUGCACAAUGGGCGGAAGCCUGAUGCAGCGACGCCGCGUGAGGGAUGACGGCCUUCGGGUUGUAAACCUCUUUCAGCAGGGACGAAGCGUAAGUGACGGUACCUGCAGAAGAAGCACCGGCUAACUAUGUGCCAGCAGCCGCGGUAAUACGUAGGGUGCGAGCGUUGUCCGGAAUUACUGGGCGUAAAGAGCUCGUAGGCGGUUUGUCACGUCGUCUGUGAAAUCCUAGGGCUUAACCCUGGACGUGCAGGCGAUACGGGCUGACUUGAGUACUACAGGGGAGACUGGAAUUUCUGGUGUAGCGGUGGAAUGCACAGAUAUCAGGAAGAACACCGAUGGCGAAGGCAGGUCUCUGGGUAGUAACUGACGCUGAGGAGCGAAAGCAUGGGUAGCGAACAGGAUUAGAUACCCUGGUAGUCCAUGCCGUAAACGGU